GGGGCAUGCUGGCGCAGCCUGACCAGCGACGCCGCGUGGAGGACGAAGGGCUUCGGCUCGUAAACUCCUUUUCCCGUGGACGAGACAAGGACGGUACACGGGGAAUAAGUCUCGGCUAACUACGUGCCAGCAGCCGCGGUAAAACGUAGGAGGCGAGCGUUAUCCGGAAUCACUGGGCGUAAAGGGCGUCUAGGCGGCACGAUAAGCGAGGUGUGAAAGCUCCUGGCUCAACCAGGAGAGUGCGCUUCGGACUGUCGAGCUUGGAGGGCAGGUGAAGGGGGUGGAAUUCCCGGUGGAGUGGUGGAAUGCGUAGAGAUCGGAAGAAC
rnacentral:rRNA from 1 species